GCUUAACACAUGCAAGUCGAGCGAGAAUCGUUUAUUGAAGGCUUCGGCUGGAAAUAGAUGAGGAAAGCGGCGAACGGGUGAGUAACGCGUGGGCAACCUGGCCUUAAGAAAAGGAUAGCCCCCGGAAACGGGGAGUAAUACUUUAUGAGAAUGAGAGAGGGCAUCCUACUUUCAUUCAAAGCGCAAGCGCUUAAGGAUGGGCCCGCGUAUCAUUAGCUAGUUGGUGAGAUAACAGCCUACCAAGGCAACGAUGAUUAGCCGGUCUGAGAGGGCGGACGGCCACAUUGGAACUGAGAGACGGUCCAAACUCCUACGGGAGGCAGCAGUGGGGAAUAUUGCGCAAUGGAGAAGAACUCUGACGCAGCAAUACCGCGUGAGCGAAGAAGGUCUUCGGAUCGUAAAGCUCUGUUAUCAGGGAAGAAGAAAAUGACGGUACCUGAUGAGCAAGUCCCGGCUAACUACGUGCCAGCCGCCGCAGUAA
rnacentral:rRNA from 1 species